rnacentral:rRNA from 1 species
CCMGCUCCAAGAGUGUAUAUUAAAGUCGUUGCAGUUAAAAAGCUCGUAGUUGAAGGUGGGGAGUUUGGAAGGGGGUCAGUUGAAAGACUGGACUUUUCUUUUGAAUCCGAUAAGGGGGGGUGGGGGAUUGGGCGCCAAGCUCAGGACCCAUGGGCCCCCCAGGUUACUGUGAAGAAAUUAGAGUGUUUAAAGCAGGCAGGAUAGCUUGAAUAGGCCAGCAUGGAAUAACAAGAUAGGACAUUGAGGGCCUCUUGUUGGUUUGGGGACGGAUGUAAUGAUUGAUAGGGUCAGUUGGGGGCAUUAGUAUUCAGUAGUCAGAGGUGAAAUUCUUGGAUUUACUGAAGACUGACUAGGGCGAAAGUAUUUGCCAAGGAUGUUUUCAUUAAUCAAGAACGAAAGUUAGGGGAUCGAAGACGAUCAGAUACCGUCGUAGUCUUGACUAUAAACGAUGCCAGCUAGCGAUCCGCAGCUGUUUUAUUAUUAGGCUCUGCGGGAAGCUUCCGGGAAACCAAAGCGUUUGGGUUCCGGGGGAAGUAUGGUUGCAAAGCUGAAACUUAAAGGAAUUGACGGAAGGGCACCACCAGGAGUGGAGCCUGCGGCUUAAUUCGACUCAAC